AUAGCAUCUUCUGCCUAAUCCUGGGUCAUGAGGGAAGCCCCGUGCUGCUAGGUGAAGGUUCCUCUGUCCCCUGCUCUUGGCUUUUGUCACCAUAGACAAAGCUUACCUGUCCCCCUAGAGUGUGAGAAAUGGUAAUCCUCAGGCCUUGGGGACACUGUGGCUGUGGCCCAGUGGCCUGAGGGAUCAUCUGGACAUCAUAGCUCGGAGCACUGAGAUCCCAGAGUUCCUGAGGAACAGACAGACAGACAAGAUCUUAAUCCAGCCUAACUGUCCGCUAGCUAACCGUGGGGCAACUUCCAGAGCUGUCUGGCUGUUUUUUCUCUACCAUAAAAUGGGCUGACGGCGUACAGCUGGGUUUCCCUGGAAGCAAGUUGCAAGAGGUCAGGCACAGCUCUGCUGAGCUCCUGGAGUCCGGUGGUGUCAGCCUCCAUUAUCCAGGGGAGUGGGUUGCAGAAGGGCACUGUCAUUUACCUCAAGCCUCAAGGGCUCCAGCCUCGGUUUCUAGACUCUUGCGCUGGGCAGCUGCAGGUGGUGGGUCACCUUGGAGAGGGCAGUUUCUUGCCACGCCACAGCCUGCCUCCUUCUCCCACACUGUGCUCCUGACACGGAUAUUCAAGGUGAGAAGGGCGUCCUUGCUGGCUCUAGCGGCCUCACACUAAGGUCUGGGCACCAAGGUCACCUCCAGCAGCACAGGAAGAGGGGAGGAGUGACUGGAGGGGCUUUCAGGGCAGGAAAUGUGAUAGGGCAGCUGAUUUAUGUCUUCACCUGGUCUUUGUUCACAAACUCUCAGUCCUGCCCCACCCUGUGGAAGACUGAGGGCUCUUAUCCAGAGGGAAUUCCUGCCCUGGCUCCUUCCAGGGCCAAGCACUGACUGCUGUGUGCAGAGGUCACCUCUGAGAUGGGAAUGUGGCAUGGGACACAGUGCGAGACUCCACACGGAAGCAGCCAGAAGUUAUGGGAAAUCUGCUCAGCUCACAGGUCAGACACAGGUUGGAGAGAUGGUUCAGUGGUAAAGAGCACG